rnacentral:rRNA from 1 species
UACAGAGGUGGCAAGCGUUGUUCGGAUUUACUGGGCGUAAAGCGCACGUAGGCGGGUCGUUAAGUCAGGGGUGAAAUCCCGGAGCUCAACUCCGGAACUGCCUUUGAUACUGGCGACCUUGAGGCUGGAAGAGGUUAGUGGAAUUCCCAGUGUAGAGGUGAAAUUCGUAGAUAUUGGGAAGAACACCAGUGGCGAAGGCGGCUAACUGGUCCAGAUCUGACGCUGAGGUGCGAAAGCGUGGGGAGCAAACAGG